CCCUGCUCCGUACGGGUCUUCCAUCAGCCACAAAGCACCAACAGGAGCUCCUCCAGCCAAGGCCAAACCACCUUUCCGGCAUGGUCAGCUCAAACCUCGGCGCUGCUGCCCACGGCCGAUGCUCAGAGUGCUUCCUCCGUUGCGGGAGGCGCAGGGAUCCCACGCCCAGCAGGCAGGACGGCACUGAGCCUGCCUCCCGCGCGUGGCCGGGCGUUACUGGAGCAACAUCCCCGCGGGAGGGAAGGAAGGAGGAAGCCAGCUGUAAAGAAAUACAACCACUGCAGAGCUGACUGCGAGAGGAGAGAGAGGAACAGACAGGCUGGCUGGAAAGGACAGCUUUGCUGAGCCCAGGAGAAAAUGGUUUGAGUAAUUAUCAACGCCUGCCGCUAUGUGGCCAGGAAGAUGGGGAGCCUGUGCAGCCGGGAGCAGCAGGAGCCACCACCCUGCCCGGUGCAGGCAGACCGUCGCAGCCGCCACCAAAAUGUAAAGGCAGAGGUGUCAGCAGCCCCCCAAGCCAGAGCUUCGCUUCCCGGGAACAGCAAACCCAUCCAAGACCAGCCCUGCAGGUCCUGAGGGUAAAAGCCCUCGUGGUCCUCCCCUAAAGGCCACGAGCUUUCUUCCCACAUGUUUCCCCAGGCAACCUGUUGGCUGGGAAUCCUGCAGCCCAGGGAUUGGAAAACAUCAGCAAAUCCCUCCUGUACCUGCUCUCAAAACAGAAGCACAACGAUAGAAAAUGUCCCAAUCAGUCUCUCAUUACCAGAAUUUUUCUAGCUGGCAGAAAAAGAUGAUCACCAACAUGUAUCAGAUGCUCCUGGCACUUUUGGGCCAUGAAGUGCCAGGGGAAGAGUACGAGCCAUUGCAUCCUAGCAGCAAAUUGGAUUUUUAUACUGUGAAACCAGAUUGUGCUCCCAAUGAUACUGGUAUACAUUCAGACGAUUUCCAUGAAGGUAGAAUCAGCUCCUGCACUACAGGAGCCUUAGAGCUUAGGUCUGUGGAAAUCCCAUGGUGUUUUGUACAAGCCCCUUCCCCAAGCCCAGUAGGCUGGUGAAGCUGUCCUUACUGGGCAGCCAGCACCCCGGCACGAUGCGCAGCACGCACAGAGCAGAGAGCUGCAGGGACCGCAGUCCGAUCCCCGCUCCAGCAAGCCCCGCUCCGUCACAGAGAGCAAUGACAGCAGAAUCGCAAACUCCGCAUGUGCGGGGAUGGCUCUGCCCGACCCCUUCCUGUGGCAGCCCAAGCCGAACCAGAAAUAAAGAUGAAUUAGAAAAGG